rnacentral:rRNA from 1 species
AGAUUGAACGCUGGCGGCAGGCCUAACACAUGCAAGUCGAGCGGCAGCACGGGUACUUGUACCUGGUGGCGAGCGGCGGACGGGUGAGUAAUGCCUAGGAUCUGCCUGAUAGGUGGGGGAUAACGUUCGGAAACGGACGCUAAUACCGCAUACGUCCUACGGGAGAAAGUGGGGAUCUUCGGACCUCACGCUAUCAGAUGAGCCUAGGUCGAUUAGCUUAGGUUGGUAAGGGUAAAGGCCUAACCAAGGCUAACGGACUACCGUAACGUGGUCUGGAGAGGAUGAUCAGUCACACGUCGAACUGAGAC